rnacentral:lncRNA from 1 species
UUUAUAAUAAAGUUUUUUAUACCAAUAAGAUAGGAUAAAAUAAAAUAAAAAACAAUGGCAUGCUCGAAGUUUAUAUGAAAAGGAGGCCUAAUGUGAAAGCAAUUAUUUAAUCAAUUUUAAGCAUUGAGGUGUCAAAAUUGAGGUUCGAUCGUGUCAUCGUGGCAGAUAAUUGAAUAUAAAAUAAUAGUAAUAUAAUUGACCGAGUAAAAAGGAAGAACAUGACAAUUUCAAUUGACAUCCAUAAUGAGUAAAAGAAUCAAUGAAAAAGAAAGUGAGGAUGAGGGUUUUGAAUUUCUCUUUAAAUUCAAAGAGUAAUUAGCCGCAACAAACGCGAGUCAAUUGUGUCGAUAACUUUGAAAACUCGAAACCACGUUGCUUUGAAAAUCCUCUCAUUGAGGAAUUUCGAAGUCUCAUCCCUUUAAUCACUUUCAUUUUCUUGUGUUUUUUUUUUCCUUGAAGAAUGAUUCCACGUAUACUAUUCCUUGUUUGUAUUGCUCCCUCUUUCAACACUAUGUCAAUUUUAUAUUCAGUUGUCAUGAUAAGUCGUGUGAUUUAAUAAAGUCAGAUUUUAAUA